rnacentral:rRNA from 1 species
UACGGGGGGAGCAAGCGUUGUUCGGAAUCACUGGGCGUAAAGGGCGUGCAGGCGGUUUGUUAAGUGCAGGGUGAAAGCUCCCGGCUCAACUGGGAGAGGUCCUUGCAUACUGGCAGACUUGAGGGAGGCAGAGGAAAGUGGAAUUCCCGGUGUAGUGGUGAUAUGCGUAGAUAUCGGGAGGAACACCUGUGGCGAAGGCGGCUUUCUGGGCCUUACCUGACGCUGAGACGCGAAAGCGUGGGGAGCGAGCCGG